rnacentral:rRNA from 1 species
GUGAGGAAUAUUGCGCAAUGAGCGAAAGCUAGACGCAGCAACGCCGCGUGGACGAUGAAGGCCUUCGGGUCGUAAAGUCCUUUUUAGAGGGACGAGUGAGGACGGUACCUCUAGAAUAAGUCACGGCUAACUACGUGCCAGCAGCCGCGGUAAAACGUAGGUGGCAAGCGUUAUCCGGAUUCACUGGGCGUAAAGCGCCUGCAGGCGGUCUCGUAAGUGGGAUGUGAAAUCUCCUGGCUUAACUGGGAGGGGCCAUUCCAUACUGCGAGACUUGAGGGCAGAAGAGGGAAGCGGAAUUCCCGGUGUAGUGGUGAAAUGCGUAGAUAUCGGGAGGAACACCAGUGGCGAAGGCGGCUUCCUGGCCUGUUUCUGACGCUAAGAGGCGAAAGCUAGGGGAGCGAACGGGAUUAGAAACCCUAGUAGUCC